rnacentral:rRNA from 1 species
UAAAGUUCUAAAUAGAAUAAUGAUAAUGACAUUUUCUAUUUAUAUGUCUUGACCAAAUCACGUGCCAGCAGUCGCGGUAAGACGUGGAAGACUAGUGUUAUUCAUCUUUAAUAGGUUUAAAGGGUACCUAGACUGUAUUUCUAGCCAUUAUAGAUUUACUAGAGUUUUAUGCGGAAAAGUAUUUUGGGUGUAGAGAUGAAAUUUGAUGAUACCCAAAGGACUGGUUAUGGCGAAAGCAACCUUUUAUGUAAAAACUGACGUUGAGGGACGAAGGCUUGGGGAGCAAUAAGGAUUAGAUACCCUAGUAGUCCAAGCAGAAAAUUAUGAAUGUCAUAUGUUAUAGAACCUUAACGUAUAAAUGAAAGUGUAAGCAUUCCACCUCAAGAGUAAUGUGGCAACACAGGAACUGAAAUCAUUAGACCGUUUCUGAAACCAGUAGUGAAGUAUGUUAUUUAAUUCGAUAAUCCACGAAAAACCUUACCACAACUUGAAUACAAGUGUUGCACGGCUGUCUUCAGUUAAUGUCGUGAGAUUUAAUUAACGUAAACCCCUGCUUUAUUUUGAGAAAAGGGACUAAGACAAGUCAUCAUGGCC